rnacentral:tRNA from 1 species
GGAGGUGUCAGGGCUCCUGGUGGUCCCCGCGGUCUUCAACACCGACGAGCCCGAGUCGCUCGGGCUGGCGGGUUCGAUUCCCGUCCACCUCCGCCA